rnacentral:miRNA from 1 species
GCAGACACAUUCCAGGCAAUCAGCAGCAGACCCUCCCUCCCAGACCCUCCCACCUCUUGGACAGCUUCCAUUUUAAAGAUGCAUUCUUAGUGAGCUGUCCAGGAGGUGGGAGGGUCUGGGAGGGAGGGUCUGCUGCUGAUUGGCUGGAAUGUGUCUG